GCGACGAUCCCUAGCUGGUCUGAGAGGAUGACCAGCCACACUGGAACUGAGACACGGUCCAGACUCCUACGGGAGGCAGCAGUGGGGAAUAUUGCACAAUGGGCGCAAGCCUGAUGCAGCCAUGCCGCGUGUAUGAAGAAGGCCUUCGGGUUGUAAAGUACUUUCAGCGGGGAGGAAGGUGUUGUGGUUAAUAACCGCAGCAAUUGACGUUACCCGCAGAAGAAGCACCGGCUAACUCCGUGCCAGCAGCCGCGGUAAUACGGAGGGUGCAAGCGUUAAUCGGAAUUACUGGGCGUAAAGCGCACGCAGGCGGUCUGUCAAGUCGGAUGUGAAAUCCCCGGGCUCAACCUGGGAACUGCAUUCGAAACUGGCAGGCUAGAGUCUUGUAGAGGGGGGUAGAAUUCCAGGUGUAGCGGUGAAAUGCGUAGAGAUCUGGAGGAAUACCGGUGGCGAAGGCGGCCCCCUGGACAAAGACUGACGCUCAGGUGCGAAAGCGUGGGGAGCAAA
rnacentral:rRNA from 1 species